UAAUGUUCAAAUGUUUAUAUGUAAUUGAAAGUUAAAGCACACAUAAUAAUGUUCAAAUGUUUAUAUGUAAUUGAAAGUUAAAGCACACAUAAUAAUGUUCAAAAGUUUAAAACACAUAAAAAGUUCAUACAUCCCUAAUCAAGUUUAAAAUUCCAACACAUAAUUGUUCAAAAGUUCAUACAUUCCUAGUCAAGUUUAAAAUUAAAACACACAUCUCUAAUCAGUUUUGCUUCCG
rnacentral:lncRNA from 1 species